rnacentral:lncRNA from 1 species
UUUGGCUAAAAACAACAUUUCCAAGUGAAUUAAGACAGAUUUUGUGCACUGUAGCAUUGGCAUGCAUGCAUAAGGUGAAUUGACAAAUUGGCAUUACACUUGGUUUUCAUUAAUCUCAUUUGCAUUGCCUAAUUGUGAUUAGCAUACAUCAUUAGUGCAUCAUAUAUAAGCAUAAGCCUAACAGAAAAUAGGGUUAACAACACCAGAAUUCAGAUCUAGAUCCAAUUUGCACAUUUUUCUCUCUCACUUUUUCUUCAA